UACGUAGGGUGCAAGCGUUAAUCGGAAUUACUGGGCGUAAAGCGUGCGCAGGCGGUUUUGUAAGUCUGUCGUGAAAGCCCCGGGCUCAACCUGGGAAUUGCGAUGGAGACUGCAAGGCUUGAAUCUGGCAGAGGGGGGUAGGAAUUCCACGUGUAGCAGUGAAAUGCGUAGAGAUGUGGAGGAACACCGAUGGCGAAGGCAGCCCCCUGGGUCAAGAUUGACGCUCAUGCACGAAAGCGUGGGGAGCAAACAGG
rnacentral:rRNA from 1 species